CAUACUUCUUCGUCACUAGACAAGUAUAGUAGUAACAAGGUUUCCGUAGGUGACCGCCAACCAUCAUUAUAGUACAACGGAGGUGCAGCGUCGUCGCUGACUUUGAAAGGGUCGUGCACACCUCGGUGCUCUCGCACAAUCACAAAUCACCCGUCCUGUGAAUCACCGCGUGGAAACCCCUUUUGGCGAGGUGCGUGCGGGGCUCCCACGCCAUUACACGGGCACCCUUUUAAUGCAAUGUGUAGAAUAUCUUACUUUUUGCGAUCACACGCAAUCAAUACAACUUUCAACAACGGAUCUCUUGGCUCUCGCAUCGAUGAAGAACGCAGCGAAAUGCCACACGUAAUGUCAACUGCAGAAUUCAGUGAAUCAUCGAAUCUUCGAACGCACAUUGCGCCCUUUGGCACACCCAAGAGCACUCCAGUUGUGUGGGCGUGUGAGUGAGGUGGGAAAAGGGUUUGUUGGGUGGGAAGAGUUGGAGGGAAAAAAAGAGGGGGGGGGGUGGUUGGUUGGGGUGGGGGGGGGGGAAAAUAAAGAAAGGGGGGGUGGUUUUUGGGGGGGGGGGGGGGGCCCCUUUUGAAAAGGGGGGGGUCUCCUGGUUGGGGGGGGGGAGGGCACCUCAAAAAAAGGGGGGGCCUCUCCUCUUGGGGGGGAGGUAAGCAUACAAAAGCCCGCUCUUCAUGG
rnacentral:rRNA from 1 species